GAUAUGUUAUUUGACGCAAGCAAGGACCGCAUCUACGUGAUGACUGAUUACAUGCUCAGCGCCGUCGAUGUGCAACAAUGCUUUCGCUACCUCAAAUGCGGCGUCUGCACUUCGAACCGGGAUCCGUACUGUGGAUGGUGUGGGCCAGAGAAAAAAUGCAGCUUGAGAGCC